GGUAAAUACUAUUUUCCUUUUGGUUUCUGAUAUAAAAUGAAUCAUUAAUGUGGCUUAUCUGAGACAAUUUAAAGCCUUUUCCUCACUAACAUUCUGUGCUGCCCUGGAGCAGGGGUUUAAACAGAAGUAAAGCAAAUACCUAUUCUGUGACUUGGAGUAGACUUCUGUCGUCAUCACUUUACAUUUCCAUCACGUUGAUCUCUGGACACCAUGUGGGACACAGAUCUCCCCUCUGAGAAAAGGAACCGCCUUUGUUUCACCUCCUCCAGUGGAAACCAACACCUGGGAGCUCUUUGUGGAGGAUUAAUGAAGUCCUUCAUGCUUUGACUCAACCAGAUGAUAGGAGGCUGUGCUGAUGGAGCCUCAAAGAGAGACAGGGAACCGCUGUCACCUUAUUUCCUGCCCCGGCUGUCCUGGUGAGCGACGCUGGGAUCACCCUCACAUGCUGUCAGCGCUGACACGUCCUCCUGACUGAACUGAAAGCGACCUUCUGUAUCCCUGUGGCUGCGUAAAUAAAUGUUACAUUGAAACAAUCCAA